GUUCUUUUUAUUUUCUGGAGAAUUCAUAAAGAUAUGCAAUUGUUCAGUAUCAUUUUGAAAUAACAAGUCGAAGGUCGUCAACAUAGACCUUCGCUCUUGGGUGUGGUUUGAAGUUUCUCCGGUUCGUAUUUAUGCUAUGCU